rnacentral:misc_RNA from 1 species
GAUGAAGAACGUAGUGAAAUGCGAUAAGUAGUGUGAAUUGCAGAAUUCAGUGAAUCAUCGAAUCUUUGAACGCACAUUGCGCCCCUUGGUAUUCCAUGGGGCAUGCCUGUUCGAGCGUCAUUUGUACCUUCAAGCUCUGCUUGGUGUUGGGUGUUUGUCUCGCCUCUGCGUGUAGACUCGCCUUAAAACAAUUGGCAGCCGGCGUAUUGAUUUCGGAGCGCAGUACAUCUCGCGCUUUGCACUCAUAACGACGACGUCCAAAAGUACAUUUUUACACUCUUGACCUCGGAUCAGGUAGGCAUACCCGCUGAACUUAAGCAUAUCAAUAAGCGGAGGA